UCCCUGGUGGUCCAAUGAUUAGAGCUUGGCCCUUCACUGCUGUGGCCCUAGGUUCAAUUCCUGGCCAGGGAA
rnacentral:tRNA from 1 species